AUGUACCUCAUCAAUCGGAGGGGUUUCCUUCUGGUUGAUGAGGUACAUGUACCUCGUUGACCAGAAGGGUUUCCUUCCGGUCAACGAGGUACAUGUACCUCAUCGACCAGAAGGAAACCCUUCCAAUUGAUGAGGUACAU
rnacentral:miRNA from 1 species